UUUUGGAUGCCUAUGUGAGGUCUUCUUGCAAAGGUGGAGCCACCAACCUGCUGCAACACAGAUGGGACAAAAUGAACCAUGAGACGGGUUUGAGCUGAUGCUCGCGAAGAAAUAAACCAUGUGGAUUCUGAAAGAGGGAAGAGAAGUGCCUGGAGGACCUCUACUAGUGGUGAGAAGAAGGACCUGCCAGGUUCAAGGUCCCACGGCUCUGUCUGGGCUUGGGGAUUGUAUGUUUUCGAGGUUUGUCCUCUCUGGAGGAGGUGACAGGAGCUGUGAGGAGUACGGAAGAUCCAAAUCCGUGGAGCUCUGCCUGAGCCCCUUCCCACGACUUAGCCACGAGAAACCAGCUGCAGGAUGUUUGUUCC